rnacentral:rRNA from 1 species
UGAAGUGCGGCUGCCUACACAUGCAGUCGAGCGGCAGCACGGGGAGCACGCUGCGUGGCGAGUGGCGAACGGGCGAGUAAUACAUCGGAACGUGCCCUGUAGUGGGGGAUAACUACUCCAAAGAUUAGCUAAUACCGCAUACAACCUGAGGGUGAAAGCGGGGGACCGCAAGGCCUCGCGCUACAGGAGCGGCCGAUGUCUGAUUAGCUAGUUGGUGGGGUAAAAGCCUACCAAGGCGACUAUCAGUAGCUGGUCUGAGAGGACGAUCAGCCACACUGAGGACUGAGACACGGCCCAGACUCCUACGGGAGGCAGCAGUGGGGAAUUUUGGACAAUGGGGGCAACCCUGAUCCAGCAAUGCCGCGUGUGUGAAGAAGGCCUUCGGGUUGUAAAGCACUUUUGUCCGGAAAGAAAUGGCUCUGGUUAAUACCCGGGGUCGAUGACGGUACCGGAAGAAUAAGCACCGGCUAACUACGUGCCAUCAGCCGCGGUAAUACGUAGGGUGCGAGCGUUAAUCGGAAUUACUGGGCGUAAAGCGUGCGCAUGCGGUUUUGUAAGACAGGCGUGAAAUCCCCGAGCUCAACUUGGGAAUGGCGCUUGUGACUGCAAGGCUAGAGUAUGUCAGAGGGGGGUAGAAUUCCACGUGUAGCAGUGAAAUGCGUAGAGAUGUGGAGGAAUACCGAUGGCGAAGGCAGCCCCCUGGGACGUCACUGACGCUCAUGCACGAAAGCGUGGGGAGCAAAACAGGAUUUAGAUACCCUGGUAGUCCACGCCCUAAACGAUGUCAACUAGUUGUUGGGGAUUCAUUUCUUCAGUAACGUAGCUAACGCGUGAAGUUGACCGCCUGGGGAGUACGGUCGCAAGAUUAAAACUCAAAGGAAUUGACGGGGACCCGCACAAGCGGUGGAUGAUGUGGAUUAAUUAGAUGCAACGCGAAAAACCUUACCUACCCUUGACAUGCCACUAACGAAGCAGAGAUGCAUUAGGUGCCCGAAAGGGAAAGUGGACACAGCUGCUGCAUGGCUGUCGUCAGCUCGUGUCGUGAGAUGUUGGGUUAAGUCCCGCAACGAGCGCAACCCUUGUCUCUAGUCGCUACGAAAGGCCACUCUAGAGAGACUGCCGGUGACAAACCGGAGGAAGGUGGGGAUGACGUCAAGUCCUCAUGGCCCUUAUGGGUAGGGCUUCACACGUCAUCCAAUGGUGCGUCCAGAGGGUUGCCAACCCGCGAGGGGGAGCUAAUCCCAGAAAACGCAUCGUAGUCCGGAUCCUAGUCUGCAACUGGACUACGUGAAGCUGGAAUCGCUAGUAAUCGCGGAUCACCAUGCCGCGGUGAAUACGUUCCCGGCUCUUGUCCACACCGCCCGUCACACCAUGGGAGUGGGUUCGCCCAGAAGUAGUUAGCCUAACCGCAAGGAGCCCGAUACCACGGGAGGCUUCAUAU